rnacentral:misc_RNA from 1 species
AGGUCUGCUGCAACAGGCAAGAUCGUGAGUUUUCAAGACCUCCCUUGCUUCCUCGGCAGAGGAGAUUACAACAGUUGGGAUACGACCAAGGUGAAGGAGCAUGACAGGGCCAUAUUUUUUGGACAGCUGCCAGUAGGAUUGAUGAAGCAAUUCACCAAGUUGGUGUAAGUUGCCCAAAAUUGGAAGCUUAAAAGGGCUUGGUGGCAGCUGGUUGUUUUGUCUUUUAACUUCCUUCUUCAGUUUGAAUAUAAGCAAUAGUGGCAAGAGCAAGAGAAGAGGAAGCCACAUAGGUAGAGUAUAGGGAGCCAUUAGAGCCUUAGCUAGCUUGAGGAUCGAUGAACUUUGAAAUAAUUCUUCACCUUUAAAUGAACCGACUGCCACUUUCAAACAAAGUAGCCAAAAAUUGUCUGUUUGUAUAACGAUGCUGAUGCUUACUGGCACUAUUAGUGUAACUGGAAAUUUCCGUCUCGUUAGAUGCCUGAUCAGACUUUUCUUUGUCUAUAACAGGAUACUUUUCUUUAGGCUGAAGGUUUUUUUCCACAUCUACAUUAAUGCUAAUACAAUGAAAGGAUGACUGUUCCAUAAGGGAAAAAGAGUGAUGUUUCCACGCCAUAACCACUUGGUAAUCGAAUGAAAUUGGCUUCUCUGAGGCAAUAAAUGACUGACACAUAGAAAGCAAUUCAAAGACUUCAGCAAUAUAUAUCCAGCUCCUUAUCACAUUGAAAUUCAUUGUUUUGGCCCUUUGCAGCUGUAUUUGGUCAUUUCCAUGCUUUUGCGCUAUCCAUUAAACACAUAUAUCAGUGCUUGGAGAACUUUUCCGAUAUAUUGAUGAAUUGUUUAGGCAGGCAAAGCUCCAGAGUUCACUUUCCUAUCUUCAUAUUGUAUGCUUGAAGCUGCUGUGCUUCUUCUUGACCAAUUAAAUUUGCCGGGAUUACAAACUGAAAUCCAACUUCUUUGACUAAUGGAUCAAUCAGUUAUCAUUCCAGCACCGCCACCUUGUCGUAUGGAAAGGGUUUUCUCUCUUCGGACAACCUCAAUUUUGCACACCACAAUCUUCCCUUUGCUGGAACUCUUCGGGCAGAUGCAUCACUUUAUCACAAGAUGAGCUGAAAAAGUUUCUCAUUCUCAAAGAAUAACUGCCUUUUUGGGUUUAUAUACAAGAGAAUAUAACGAAAAUAAAAGUCAAUGACAGCUGGAACAUCCAAAGAAUUUCUGAAGUAGUUGCAGCCAUGGAUGUAUAUCUGCUUCUGAAGAAGAACUGUUGUUUGCUUCUUUGACUUCCAACUAAUCAAGGAUUCUUCCAAAAACACACAACAACCUGUUAGAGACUUCCUUGUUUCAAAAUAACCAGCCCAAUCACUAUCACAAUAAGUAGAGAGUUUGAACUCUGAUUUAGAGGACAAGAGUAAACCUUGACCUGGCACAUUUUUUAGAUACUUGAGAACCUUAAACGCUGCAUCCAGAUGUGAUUCAGAUGGUCUAUCCAUGAAUUGAGACAACACACAGACUCCAUAGGCUAAAUCUGGUCUGAUCAAAGUAACAUACAUUAAAUUAACCACCAGCUGUCUAUAAAUGCUAGGAUCUGUAAGCAACUUGUCUUCUGAAUGUGUUAACUUCACAUUUACUUCAACAAGAAUAGAGCUUGGCUUAGCUCCAAGAACACCAUACUCUUCUAACAUUUCCAAAACAAAUUUUCUUU